rnacentral:rRNA from 1 species
UGGGGAAUAUUGCACAAUGGGGGAAACCCUGAUGCAGCAACGCCGCGUGAGUGAAGAAGUAUUUCGGUAUGUAAAGCUCUAUCAGCAGGGAAGAGAAUGACGGUACCUGACUAAGAAGCCCCGGCUAACUACGUGCCAGCAGCCGCGGUAAUACGUAGGGGGCGAGCGUUAUCCGGAUUUACUGGGUGUAAAGGGAGCGUAGACGGUUCUGCAAGUCUGAAGUGAAAGCCCGUGGCUUAACCGCGGAACGGCUUUGGAAACUGUGGAACUGGAGUGCUGGAGAGGCAAGCGGAAUUCCUAGUGUAGCGGUGAAAUGCGUAGAUAUUAGGAGGAACACCAGUGGCGAAGGCGGCUUGCUGGACAGUAACUGACGUUGAGGCUCGAAAGCGUGGGGAGCAAACAGG